UACGUAGGGGGCAAGCGUUGUCCGGAUUUAUUGGGCGUAAAGAGCGUGUAGGCGGCCAUGCAGGUCCGUUGUGAAAACUCGAGCUCAACCUCGAGACGCCGAUGGAAACCGCAUGGCUAGAGUCCGGAAGAGGAGAGUGGAAAUUCCUGGGUGUAGCGGUGAAAUGCGCAGGAUAUCAGGAAGAACACCCGUGGCUAAGGCGGCUCUCUAGUACGGUACUGACGCUGAGACGCGAAAGCGUGGGGAGCGAACAGG
rnacentral:rRNA from 1 species